GGGGGUAUAGCUCAGUGGCAGAGCAUUUGA
rnacentral:piRNA from 7 species